rnacentral:rRNA from 1 species
UACGUAGGGUGCAAGCGUUAAUCGGAAUUACUGGGCGUAAAGCGUGCGCAGGCGGUUUUGUAAGACAGGCGUGAAAUCCCCGGGCUCAACCUGGGAACUGCAUUUGUGACUGCAAGGCUAGAGUACGGCAGAGGGGGAUGGAAUUCCGCGUGUAGCAGUGAAAUGCGUAGAUAUGCGGAGGAACACCAAUGGCGAAGGCAAUCCCCUGGGCCUGUACUGACGCUCAUGCACGAAAGCGUGGGGAGCAAACAGG